ensembl:snRNA U1 U1 spliceosomal RNA
AUACUUACCUGGCAGGGGAGAUACCAUGGUCAUGAAGAUGGUUUUCCCAAGGCAAGCCUUAUCCAUUGCACUCUGGAUGUGCUGACCCCUGUGAUGUCCCCAAAUGUGGGAAACUCGACUGCAUGAUUUGUGGUAGUGAGGAACUGCAUUUGCAAAA